rnacentral:miRNA from 1 species
UAUUUUUGUGUCGUUAUGGUC